CCCUUGUGAGGGGUCAUUCUGAACAAACCGAGGGUCCUGCAAGGUACUACCACCGGUUGGAUAACUGCCGUAUAUUACUUUGCUUCUUAUUUUUAUUUUUUUACAUAUUCUAUCAACAAUUAGUUGAAUUUCCAAAGAGGAAGAACCAAAUAUACAACCACCUCCGCAAGAGGUCAUUAAUGUUGGUUUGAGAAAAUCUUUUAAAGUGAAAAAUCUAACAAUUUCUACUGAUUAUGUAGUAUACUUAAAAUGAGUUUUUCUUUUGGCCAGAAAAGGAAAGUAGUUUAUUUAUGAAAUAUUAGCAUAAAGUUGAAUACAUAAUUACCCCUCAAACAUCAUUUAAGAGAAGGCGAUCAGAGGGAUCAUAAUAGACAUAAAAUAAACCAAAAGUAAAAAAGUUCAUUUAAAGAUAAAAACAACUAAAAACUACUACCUAAAUGGGCUAAAGCAUUUGCAUAUUUGUUCUCUCCUUGAAAUACAUGUCUCCAAUAACUAGAACUCAGAGAAUGGAGGAGCCUCCUGCAUUCAUCAAUCAAAUGAGAUAACACAAAGUUUUGAUUAGUCGAUUUUUGCAUAAAGGAAAGAACAAAAGUAGCAUCUACUUCAAUUUCAAUGUUGAGAAUAUUAUGGUCAUGGGCAAGGGUCAAUCUGUUAUGGUAAGCUCCAAUCACCCAAUUACCCAAGUGAUCCCCAAUAAGAGCACCUGCACCCACUUUCUCUGGAUUGCCCGGAGAAGAGCCUUCUGUAUUAAGCUUGAACCAUCCCACACAAAGGGGGCUUCCAAGAGACAAGGACAAAGUCAAAGAGACCCUCUGCUUCUUAAGAGGGAGAAAAUAGUGAAUUCAUAAGCAUUUCAAAGGACCUAUACUAAUUGAAGAUUAAGGCCUUUUAACAUAACUAAAUGUAACAGCCUGUUUUCAGUGAAAUCAAAACAGUGGUUUCGGGACCACAAAUCUGAAGUCAAAAAAAUUAUUUUAUUAUUACUUUAUUGUCUACAGCAUGAUAGAAAUUUUACCGUUUACAUGCUCAAUUUGAUAAAAAGGACUAAAUCGCGUAAAGUGCAAAAGAUGAGUUCUAAGAGCUAAAAGUAUUAAAUAAAUAUAGGACUUUAAAGUGGAGGUUCUUAUAUGGUAAUUAGACCAUUAUUUUGCUAGUGGAUAAUAAUGGCUUGGCAUUUUGUGUAAUUAUUAAAGCUUUUAAAGGUUAAUUUUGGAAAUAAGUAAUUAAAGUUAAUAAUAAAUAAAACCAAAUUAAAACAUCAUUUUGUAUCAUCUUUCCCAAUUGAAUAUCAAACAAAAUGUUUGAAUGUUUAAAGUAUUUCUAAGUUAAAGGUCAUUUUAUAAAAAGAUAAGAGCUCUAUGAAUUCUCUCUGCGAAAAUACUGAAUCUGAAAAAUCCAUUACUGAGGAGUUGAUCCCUAAGAAAGUUCGUUUCAGAAAUGAAGAUGUUGAUACAAACAAUAAUAUGUUGAUCGAUACAUCUCCAGGAAAAUCUAUCUCGUGGAGGGAUAUGCUUGUAGGACAUUCGUCAAAGGAUACUCACAUUGAUUUGGAAGGAAAAGAAGAUAUGGAAAUUUUGGAUGGGGACAUUCAAAAAACCUUUGUGGAUGGCGUACCUUCCAUUUCCUUCUCGGAUAGGAUUCACAAAAUCCUUAUUCAAGGUAUGGAUAACACAGUGAUUUUAAAACUUCUUGGUCGUAACAUUUCCUUUUCGGUUUUGCAGAAUAAAUUGUUCAAUCUGUGGAGACCUUCAGCACCUCUACAUAUGAUGGAUAUAGAAAAUGGUUAUUUCUUGGUUAAAUUCCAGAAUAAGUUGGACUGUGAAAGGGCUCUUGCUGAAGGACCUUGGAUCAUCUUUGGACAAUAUUUGACGGUUCAGCCUUGGUCGUUAGCCUUUGAUCCGAUACAAGCUUAUCCGAGCGUUGUGAUGGCAUGGAUUAGAUUUCCUGGUUUACCUGGAUAUUUAUAUAAUCAUAAAAUCAUCACUGAGAUAGGGGAAAUGGUUGGAAAAGUGGUUAAAUUGGAUAUGAACACUGAUAGUAGGACUAGGGGAAGAUUCGCUAGAUUGGCUGUUUAUGUUGACCUGGAAAAGCCGUUGGUAUCACAUAUUCUGAUCAAUGGACGUAAGCAGAACGUUGAAUAUGAAUCUUUAUACACAAUCUGUUUUCAUUGUGGGAGAUAUGGGCAUGUGGAAAACUCUUGCCCUUUUAAGAAUUCUGAAACCCCCAGUGAAAAGGAGAAUACCUCGUCGGAAAUGGCAUCGGAGUUUCAAAACACGACCAAGGUUGACGUGGAGAAGGAGCACGAGAAUUUCGGGCCUUGGAUGAUCGUUGAGAAGAAAUCAAGGCGGAAAAUCAGAGAUAAUACACAAAAUCCCUUAAAUGUCCAACAGAUUUGGAAAAAAGGAUCUCGCUUUAGAGCCCUUAAUAAUAAAGACAUGCACAAAGAGGAUUUGGAGGGUUUUUUGCCGGAUACUAGAAGCCAUAAAGGGAAGGAAAUUUUACAUGGUAAUUCUAUGGAGAAAAUUUCUGCUAAUCCUAAUAAUGGUCGAACAAUCAGAGAAAGAAACAAUAAUAAUAAAAGCAACUUAAAGGAGGUGAAUCAGAUGGACAAUUGUGGCCCACUUUUUAAAAGGAACAGUAGAACAAAUGCGGAGCCCAAUAAGCCCAGCACAAGCCUGAAAGGAAAAUCGCAUAACACAAAGAAGCCUGAUAGUAGUUUGGGCAUUGGAACCAUACCUGCUGGUCAGGCCUGUGGAGUCUUGGAGCCUUCUGGUCCAGAUUUGGGAGCCCAUCUUCCCUCUGCUGCUGCUGGAAAAGGUAGUCAGACCUUUUUUUCAGAUGAGUCACAAACAACUCCAGGUGACGAUGUGGGUCUUGAAGUCGAAGGAGAAGGAUCAAAAAAUCAGCCAGUUUUGGAGGAGUCAAGGCGGACUGCUGUCUCACUAGAUGUUGGUAACCUUGAUUAUGGUAGACAUUCGGCAGUCGUCUUUCUUGAGAACACCAAAAACCCCUCUAAUAAUUAUUCUCCUUCUCUUGCGCUUCCAUCUGGUUCAGGUAAAGCUUUUAAAAUAGAACCAGAGGAUUUGUUAAAAAACAGACUAAAAUUCUCCAUAGCAGUAAUGUUCGCUUCAAAACUUCGGGAGUCCAGCGAACACCUUUGAAGGAGUCAAUAGAAUUUCUUGCUGAGAGCAUCUCGACUUUUGCUAAGCCUAAUAUUGAGGUUGAAUCUAGCAUCGAAAUUAGUGGGCAAAAAGAGGGAAUUAAUGUUUCUGGACAAUAAGGAUAUAUUUUCUAUUCUUAUUUGUUUGACUUGUUUUUUGUUAAUUUGAUAUUAGAG
rnacentral:lncRNA from 1 species